rnacentral:lncRNA from 1 species
UGGGGUGUUGGAAGGAGAAGGAUGGGGAGGAAUGUCUUCAGGGCUAGCUGAGCUUUCAAGGAUAAAGAAAGUCCUUUCUUGGAUAAGGGGGCACCAGGGUUCCAGGCAGAGAUAACCAUGCAGAGGCGUGAAACAGCACAAGGUGCCCGGAGAACUGAGAGCGGCUGACUCACUGUUGGGGCUGGGAGAGGUGACAAGAGGCCAUAUGACAGCUGACCCUGGGAGAGUGGAGGGGAGUGACUCAGAGUUUUCUCACAUCAGACAGAACUGUAAUCCAGAAAGCCAGGCAGUCAACAGUGCUAAGAGAAUAAAUUAGAGGGAGGUGAGGAAGGGGCAGGGGCCAGGAAAGGCCCUUGCUCAGCUCUAGGAGACCGUCUCGGAACCAAGGCAACGGGAUACAGAAUGGAAGAAAAGAGGAAAAAAGUUUAGAACAGAGAAUCAAAGGCUGUAAUGUUCCAUACUGUGGAGCUACAAUGAUCCUGCCAGACUCAACAGAAAGCACGAUCGCACACAAAUCUGGAACGGUUCUCAGCUUAGAGCUACCACGAUGAAGGUGAUGCCAUUCCUGGCUUCAAGAAGUGAAUGAACCAGUCAGUUCCUCUCAAGUCUUUAUCUAUUCACGUGUCCCAUCACUGAAAAGGGGAAUUCACUAACUAACUAGGGCAUUAUGGAGCCUGAGGCACAUCCAAGUGACACAUUCCAAGAAGAAAAUUCACAAAACUCGACAAUAAUAAGUGAAAAUACUCAGGGUCCUUGCACAUCAUAGAGGUGGAAAGAUUUAGGCUGGGAAUCUGAAGACAGGAGCUUUGCUUCCAGUUCUGCUAAGACCAGUUUUGUGACAGCAGACAGUCCGCUCAGCCACCCUGAACCCUGGCAUCUGAAAAACUGGGAAGAUGGACUAGACAUUCUCGAAGCUCCCCUCCAGUUCUAAGAUUCUGUGAACAAAGAACAAG